rnacentral:lncRNA from 1 species
GCUGGGUUGGUGAAUGUCCUUGUCCUUCCUCCUCCCUGGCACUGUGAGGAUUAAUUACAUUGAGUAAAGUGGAGUGGGAGAAGCAAAGUCACUGCAAUAUUUAGGGUUUCAGUAUGAUGGUGUCCAUUGGGAAACCCCUGCAAUCAGUAGGUGAUGCCAUUUGAGAAAUCAAGAGGUACUGAGUGUAAGAACAGAUUGUGCAAGUGUUUGGACGCUUGGCUAUUUUUUCAGUAGUGCCCACUAAUUUGGGCAUGUUUUCCUCUCUGGAUGCCCAGUUGGAGAUGGCUCAUAGAAGCUCAUGUUUGGAAGUCACGUACUGAAGUCAUGGCUUCUUCAGGGUGUACCAGCACAGCUGGGCACAGAGGCAGGGAGCAUCCCUGUGGCCCAGGUCUCGGAAUGGGAAAACCACUGGACUGUUUUCUUCUUGCCAAAACACUGAAUGUCUCAUCACCACGUGGGAAAGCAUCUUGCUGCAGACUGAAUUUUGUAAAUAGUGCAGUAACACAAACCCAUCGCACAUCAGAAAUAGCUGGCUUUACAGUGGUCAGCCAUCCAGUUUGA